rnacentral:misc_RNA from 1 species
UUAGUAAUGAAUGGUGGAUUACACACGGGGAAAAGUGGAAGAUAGACUUCAGGGCCUAUGUCGAUGGAGAAGCUGGAAGAAUGGUUGGUAAAGAUGUGCUGCUCGAUUAUUUAGCUGGAGCUAUAUCAGGAUCAGCAGGAGUGUUAUUUGGUCAUCCCCUGGACACCGUAAAAUGUCAGCUACAGGUGCAACAAGCUGGGAACCAGUACAAGGGAUUAUUGGAUUGCUGUAUCACCAUUAAUAAGCAAGGACUGGCAAAAGGAUUUUUUCGAGGAUUAUCAUGGCCACUUUUCUCCUAUGGACUUGUCAACUCGAUGUUCUUUGGGACUUACGCCAACACCUUGAAACUUCUGGGUUCCAGUGCUGUACCAGGCUCUGAGCCCCACUUCCUACAUAUUGUGAUUGCAGGUUCUGUGGGAGGUGCGGCUCAGUUGUCAGUUGCUGUUCCUGUAGAGGUCAUCAAGGUCGUCUUACAGUCCCAGAUUCCCCAUCUGUCUAAACAACAUAUCAUAGGUAUAAAUCGUGAUUAUUACAAGGGACCUAAUGAAGGAAUUUUGGAUAUAAUACGUGCUAAAGGUUUCAAAGGAAUGUAUAGAGGGACCGUAGCUCAGUUUUAUCGGGACAUUCCAGCUUCAGCAUCAUAUUUUGCGAUAUUUGAAUAUUCUUCCUAUUACGGACAUAAGUAUUUCCCAGCAAUCAACAGUCAGGUUAUCAACUUUUUAUCAGGAGGUUUAGCAGGGGUCCUAAGUUGGACCCUCAUUUUACCUCUGGAUGUAAUGAAGAGCCGGGUUCAAGCAGACGUGAAAGGAAAUUUAUACACAGGAUUGUGGGAUUGUGCAAAGAAGAGUGUACAGGAAGAAGGAUUUACAGUAUUGUUCCGUGGGUAUUCUGCUGUAGCUACGAGAGCUUUCCUUGUUAAUUCGAUUACGUUGUUAGUCUAUGUUGAACUGUUGAAAGCUUUUAAAGCCGUACAUUUAGCAUAGCUGUGAUAAGUGUACUUUAAUUAAGCAUUAUGCAUACAGGUUUUGUAAGUGAGAGUACUGUAGUAGUUUUUAUAAAAAUGAUCUCUGUUUGGGCAUCUUUUGCCUGACCAAUUACAGCAUUGUUAAUUACUAUGGUAUUUCCCUGUUAUAAGUAAGGCAAAUAUUUUGUUAUGUCUAUUUUGUUUUAUUCAUUGAUAUUAUUAGUCCCCUACUGGUUGAAAACCAGUUUCGGGGACUAUAGGAAUGCGCUUUUC